GACGAACGCUGGCGGCGUGCCUAAUACAUGCAAGUCGAACGCAGUGGGGACGGGUUAGUCACACGUGGGUAACCUACCAUCAGAGGGGGUAACACUUGGCAACAGGUGCUAAACCGCUACUGCUGUAGAGACCCGGGGUGCAUUAGCGAGUUGGGGGGGAAACGGCUAACCAAGGCCAAGAUGCAUAAACGACCUGAGAGGGUGAUGGGCCACACUGGGACGGAGAAACGGCCCAGACUCCGACGGGAGGCAGCAGUAGGGAAUAUUUGGCAAUGGACGAAAGUCUGACCUAGCAACGCCGCGGGAGUGAAGAAGGUGUUCGGAUCGUAAAACACUGUUGUUAGAGAAGCGGUAUCUAACCAGAAAGCAACGGCUAACUACGUGCCAGCAGCCGCGGUAAUAC
rnacentral:rRNA from 1 species